rnacentral:tRNA from 16 species
GCCGAGGUAGCUCAGUCGGUAGAGCAGGGGACUGAAAAUCCCCGUGUCGGCAGUUCAAUUCUGUCCCUCGGCACCA